UCAUUAUGAUCUAGGAAGCUUUUCUAAUUGCCCAAUAAUUGGAGAAUGUACUAGGGAUCACCGGCCGGCCUUCUGAAAUAGAAUCGGACAGCCUACCGGUUAAGACGAACCAGCUUACUGAAGAUAUAUAAGUGGAAGCGGUCAGCUAUCCUUUCAAGACGGCCGAUUAGCGUGAAUGACAGGAACCAGACGGUAAGCUACGGACGAUGGUCUGCAUGAUUAAGGCCCAUAUCCAGCACUAUAAAUACAUGUCAGAGGCAUCAGGUACCCUCCGAACACAUCGAACAUAGGAGAAGGAAGAAGGCGGACUAUUGAAGAAUAGACUUCGGAAUUAGCGGACGGUCUGAGGAGAGGAAAUUGUGUAGGUUUGAUACUCGGUUUCACACCGGAACAGAGGAAAAGGUCUUCGAAAGUUGUUCAACCAAGCUUAAACCCUACUUGGUUCAAGCAGUGAAAUUCUUGGGUAUAUCUGUGGAUGAUUAUAGUAUGGUACUUGCUUCAAUAUACCAAGAAGAUGUUGAUUGUUCUGAUCACUCUUAGGGUUAUUUGGACACUGAAAAAGUUGACAAUAGUAAACAAAAGUCAGAACAUUCUAGCAAGAGAUGACAAAAGAAACCAAACACUUCAACCAAAUCAGCAAAACCUUCUAAGGGUGAUGUUGCUACUAAUGAA